AUGGCGCCGCCUUGCCUCCAUGGCCACCGGAGCCAUGCCCCUUCGCCGUCGUGUCGCCUUGCUUCGCCUCCUGCCUCCCGCAUGCCCCGCUGGGAGCGUGUGUGCCCGCGUCCAGCGCCUCCCGCUCGCUCCGCCACGGCCUCCUCGACGUGGUCGAGCCCGACCAGCACCCUCUCGUCGGUGAACCUCCGCCGCACGCUUCCCUCCGUCCUGACCAUCACCUCCCCGACGCCCUUGCUGCUGCUGCUAGACCACCGUCGCCUCCGUGCUGCUGGCAUCCCGAGGCCUUGUGAUUGUGUUGCUUCGUUUUGGUUGCCCCAAGAUUCUCUCCGACAAGUGUACAGCUAUCCGGUGAUGCGCGAAGUACCCCUUGGAUCGUCAAGUUCGACUACACGAAACCGCCAAGUACCACUACGAUUGCCGUGUACUUCUACGGACGCCAAGCCCGGAACAACAAGUACCCCGACAACGUGGGUAACUAGCGUCAACCCCGUGGACGUCAAGUACCUCUACCGACGACCCCGAACAUUUACGAAAACGUGUACCACUACCGUCGCCGUGUACCACUACUUCCCUCGGCGACCCGUGAACAACUACUCCCACUACCGUCAAACCCGAGCCACUCCGAAAAUGCACGCUUCGAAGCUUCGGUUUCGUUCCGAAGUUGUGAGGAUUCGUUCGACUACAUCCGCUUGUCUUCUUCAUGGACUCGUUCUUCUUCCUUGCGGGAUCUCAGGCAAGAUGACCAUACCCUCGAAAUCACUUCUAUCUUUGCUUGCUAGUUGUUCGCUCUAUUGCUAUGCAGCGCUACCUACCACAUGCUAUUUCAUGCCUCCCAUAUUGCCAUGA
rnacentral:rRNA from 1 species